rnacentral:rRNA from 1 species
CCAAUAGCGUAUAUUAAAGUUGUUGCAGUUAAAAAGCUCGUAGUUGAAUUUCGGGAUCAAUGCGUCGGUCGUGCCUUCGGUACGUACUAGCGUCAUUGAUUCCUCCCUUCUGAAGAACCGUGAUGUCAUUAAUUUGGUGUUACGGGGAAUCAGGACUGUUACCUUGAAAAAAUUAGAGUGUUUAAAGCAGGCUAACGCUUGAAUACAUUAGCAUGGAAUAAUGAAAUAGGACGUUCGAACCUAUUUUGUUGGUUUCUAGGAUCGACGUAAUGAUUAAUAGGGAUAGUUGGGGGCAUUAGUAUUCAAUUGUCAGAGGUGAAAUUCUUGGAUUUAUUGUAGACUGACUACUGCGAAAGCAUUUGCCAAGGAUGUUUUCAUUAACCAAGAACGAAAGUUAGGGGAUCGAAGACGAUCAGAUACCGUCGUAGUCUUAACCAUAAACUAUGCCGACUAGGGAUCGGAUGAUGUUAAUUUCAUAAUGACUCAUUCGGCGCCUUACG